rnacentral:ncRNA from 2 species
GGCGACAAUUGAAAAACACUUCGUAUAAUCUUGAGAAUAGGCUCAGGAGUCUCUACGGAUCACCGGAAUGAUCUCUCUACGGAAUGAAGCAAUGGCAGU